AUAUAUAUGUGUGUAUAUAUAUAUGAGAUAAUGUUUACUCCUGGAGAAAAAGGGUAAUGAUAUUAAGAAGGUAUAAAUAUGGAACUUCAAAUUUACCUUUCAUUUCAUUUUUUAAAAUAUCUAAAACCAUUAUGCUAAGACCUCUAGUUGUUCAUUGUGGGUGCUAGGGGCAUUAUAAUUUGUUAAAUUAUUCUCUAUGUUUUCUCAAUUUUCAAUCUUUCUAGAUCUUUAAAAAUAGUGGGAAAGUUUUGAAAACACAUUUGCCUAUUUUUUUACUUUUUGUAGAGAUGGGGAUCUUGCUAAGUUGCCCAGGCUAGUCUCAAACUCCUGGGAUCAAGCAAUCUGCUUGUCUCAAACUCCUGGGAUCAAGCAAUCUGCUUACCUUGGCAUCCCAAAAUGCCAGGAUUACAGGCCUGAGCCACUGCACCUGACAGGCUAUUUUUUUAAUGUACUUUUUAAAAGAUUUUGCUUUUGAAGGUUCACAAACAAAGAAUUAAGUACAAAGAUGCCAAAGAAGCGAAGUCCUCCUGUAACUAUCAAAUAUCUGUUCCGUCAGUCAUUAUAUCAAAAUAAAUCAUGUGGUUCAAUCUUUCUUGUUGGGAAUUCAGAACGUUGCCUGAGAAAUCUCUCCCCACCCCGCAAAAAAGUGAUUUAUUUUAUUAAGUAAAAACUGAGCACAUGAGAGAAGACAGAAUGCGACUAGGGAAAGGAGAAGUUGCAACAUACUGACAUGUCAUCUCAAUUUUACGAGAUUCUCAAGGUUUGGAAAUGACUUAGAGACCUCAAUAUUAGUGAUUUGCAGGGAUAGACAAACUGCAGAUAAAUCUUCCUGUGUAUCGACUUAAAAAAAAACAAAACAAAACAACAACAAAAAAACCACUAGAUUUUCUAUUUGGUUCCAACGUUGACAGGUUCUUUCCUCUGUAGACCUAUGUGAAUUGAUGACAUCAGCUCAGCCCCAGAUCAGUGUCUUCUUGGGUUGUUUGGGACAGUUUUCUCUUCCACUGUCCCCUUCAGUGUGCAUUGCAUGUGACUGGCUGGUGAGAAGUCCGGGAUAUGCUUCACUCUGAACAGGUGAGCUCUUGGUGAGCUCACUCUACUCCUGUUUUUGUGCUAGAAAGGGGUUUCCAAUAAAUUAUUGAGGCUAAAGCAUCUUUCCUUUCUGAAAGGGCUGCAUGUUGGAACCAGUCCCAUAUCCAUAAUCAUAGAUAGCCUUAUGCAAGCGGCAUGAGAGUCAACAUCUAAUUGGUGCCUUGACCAGGCCUGGGGCAAAAUCCUGUUUAAAUACAAUCAAUAUUUACAAAGUAAGACGACAAGGUUUGCACAGAGCAGAACUAGGCAAGAUAUAGAUUUCCACUUACAAGUCAGCAUGCAGCUAAUAAUUCACCCCAGAUCGACCUGUUCAGAGUGAAGCAUAUCCCGGACUUCUCACCAGCCAGUCACAUGCAAUGCACACUGAAGGGGACAGUGGAAGAGAAAACUGUCCCAAACAACCCAAGAAGACACUGAUCUGGGGCUGAGCUGAUGUCAUCAAUUCACAUAGGUCUACAGAGGAAAGAACCUGUCAACGUUGGAACCAAAUAGAAAAUCUAGUGGUUUUUUUGUUGUUGUUUUGUUUUGUUUUUUUUUAAGUCGAUACACAGGAAGAUUUAUCUGCAGUUUGUCUAUCCCUGCAAAUCACUAAUAUUGAGGUCUCUAAGUCAUUUCCAAACCUUGAGAAUCUCGUAAAAUUGAGAUGACAUGUCAGAAGCCCUGUGCCAUCUGUGUCGUGGCCUAAGAUUUAGGAGAUCUGAAUUUCAGUCCCAGCUGUGAUACUAAUAAGGGAAUAUUCCCUCAGCUGAGACCUCUGGGACUCAGUCUUCCCAUGAGUGGAAUGGGAUAAUAAUACGCACUCAGAUUUCACUACUGUGGUUUCAGGACCAUUUAUUCAAUAUAUUAAUAUUAAAGGGCUUUUAAAUAAUCUGAAGCAAAUACAGUGCAACAAGUAUUUUUUUAAAAAACUAAAAAUACCAAUGAAACACGUUCUUCUUGCUUUAAAAGUCUGGAGGGUUGAAGCAAAAACAUAGACAAAAAAUGUUUUCUCAAAAAAUAAUGCUUUUAAGUAUAAGCCACCUGACUAGCCAAGUCACAGAUCUAUGAUCAAAUGCUUUUCUCAAACAAGAAAUUGGUGUGACUUGGGAAGUGAGGUUUGCACAAAAUCAAAUGGCAUCUUCUUAAACCUGGUUUUUGACAAGAGGUGAUCAUUACUGGAUAACUUUUAAAAAGUCCAAGCUGUUACAACUAAGAACAAAACUGAAACACUCACAACCAUUUUUAACUCACUAUAGAAAAAUUUAAUUGCUUAAAUAUGUAACUGGUUGAACUGUUAUAAAGAUGCUUCAUAAAUACUGGCCAAAUUAAUGAAUUUUACCAUUCAGGAAUGCACACGGAUGUAGAUAAUGAACUCAAAAUGGUCAGGGAUGUCAGAAGCUUCAAUGAAACACUAGGAUACUUUUUUUUUCUACCUGACUAUGGUCCUUACCAAAUCUAAUGCAGUGAUUAUUUCCUGAAUAUUAAUUUAUACUUGAGAUUAGAAGGCACUACACAAAAUACACACUCAAAACAGGACCAUGUUAAAUCAAUUUUGCCCCCAUCUCCAGCCUCCUCUAACUUCAUGUUUGUAUUUAGUCAACAAGAUUAGAGACUUCAUCUCUAUAGCUUGCCCCCAAAAAGAUAUAUCCAUAUCUUAUUCCCUAGAACCUGUGAAUAUUACCUCAUAUGGCAAAAGAGUGGAUAUUAUCUCCUGUGGCAAAAGAUGUAAUGAAGGAUCUCAAGAGAAGUUAUCCUGGAUUAUCGAGUGGGAUAAUCAACUUUGCAUGUAACUUUGCAUGUAACAAACUUUGCAUGUUCUCAUUCCUUUGUAGGAGCUAAAAAUUAAAAUAAUCAAACUACCAGGGAUAGUAGAAUGAUGGUUACCUGAGACUGAGAAGGGUAGUUAUGGAGUUAGGAAGGGUGUGGGGAUGGUUAAUGGGUACAACAAUAUAGCUAGAUAGAAUAAAUGAGAUCUAGUUUGUGAUAACACAACAGAGUGACUACAGUCAACAGUAAUUUAAUUGUACAUUUUGGAAUAACUAAAAGGGUAUGAUUGGAUUGUUUGUAAUACAAAGGAUAAAUGCUUGAAGCGAUGCAUACCUUACUUACUCUGAUGUGAUUAUUUGACAUUGCAUGCAUUUACACUGAUGUGAUUACUUCACAUUGUAAAAUAUCUCAUGUACCCUAUAAAUAUAGACACCUACAAUGUAACCACAAAAAAAAAAGAUUAAAGGAAAGAGGCAAAGGGAAUCAGUUUUGAGAGAGACACAUAACAGGAGGCCAUGUUACUGCAGAGGCAGGGAUUGGAGUGAUGUGGCCACAAGUCAAGGAACACCUGGAGCAACCAGAAUCUGAGAGAGACAAGAAAGGAUUCUCUCCUAGAGCCUUUGGAGGAGUGCAGUCCUGCUGACACCUUGAUAUCAGACUUCUAACCUCCAGAACCAUGAGAGAAGAAACUCCUGGUGUUUGAUAGAGCAGGAGGACUGUCAUCUCGGACAAACACUGCCACUUUAAGUUCCAGCUCCCUUUCUAGCCUCAUGCAUUUCAAGGAAAUCACUUCUUUUCUAACUAUAAGCAACCAGAAAGAGCAGACAGUAAAACACAGAUCAGACAGCUCGGGCACAGAGGGAGGUGGGGGGAAAGUCUCUUGGGUAACUACCAAACUUCACCCUCAUACAAUGGGCCCCAGUAAAACAGUGGGCCUUAAUAAGCGCAUUCCUUUCCCUUCAAGUCCACUAAGAUAGAAAAGCAAAAAGCAGACUGGAGUGAUAUGCCUGAAGCUGCAGAAAGAUGUAUGGGAACAGGCACACAACUCUCCCUCCCAUAUAAGCACAACAAAG
rnacentral:lncRNA from 1 species